rnacentral:rRNA from 1 species
CGUGUAGGCGGCUCUUCAAGUCUCUGGUGAAAUCUCCCGGCUUAACCGGGAGGGUGCCAGGGAAACUGGAGGGCUUGAGGGCAGCAGAGGGGGGUGGAAUUCCCGGUGUAGUGGUGAUAUGCGUAGAUAUCGGGAGGAACACCAGUGGCGAAGGCGGCCCCCCUGGGCUGUUCCUGACGCUGAGGCGCGAAAGCGUGGGGAGCAAACA